rnacentral:rRNA from 1 species
AACGAACGCUGGCGGCAUGCCUAACACAUGCAAGUCGAACGAGACCUUCGGGUCUAGUGGCGCACGGGUGCGUAACGCGUGGGAAUCUGCCCUUGGGUUCGGAAUAACUUCGGGAAACUGAAGCUAAUACCGGAUGAUGACGUAAGUCCAAAGAUUUAUCGCCCAAGGAUGAGCCCGCGUAGGAUUAGCUAGUUGGUGAGGUAAAGGCUCACCAAGGCGACGAUCCUUAGCUGGUCUGAGAGGAUGAUCAGCCACACUGGGACUGAGACACGGCCCAGACUCCUACGGAGGCAGCAGUGGGGAAUAUUGGACAAUGGGCGAAAGCCUGAUCCAGCAAUGCCGCGUGAGUGAUGAAGGCCUUAGGGUUGUAAAGCUCUUUACCCGGGAUGAUAAUGACAGUAUCGGGAGAAUAAGCUCCGGCUAACUCCGUGCCAGCAGCCGCGGUAAUGUAGUCGUGU